rnacentral:rRNA from 1 species
GCGGUCCUUUAAGUCUGAUGUGAAAGCCCACGGCUCAACCGUGGAGGGUCAUUGGAAACUGGGGGACUUGAGUGCAGAAGAGGAGAGUGGAAUUCCACGUGUAGCGGUGAAAUGCGUAGAGAUGUGGAGGAACACCAGUGGCGAAGGCGACUCUCUGGUCUGUAACUGACGCUGAGGCGCGAAAGCGUGGGGAGCGAACAGGAUUAGAUACCCUGGUAGUCCACGCCGUAAACGAUGAGUGCUAAGUGUUAGAGGGUUUCCGCCCUUUAGUGCUGCAGCAAACGCAUUAAGCACUCCGCCUGGGGAGUACGGCCGCAAGGCUGAAACUCAAAGGAAUUGACGGGGGCCCGCACAAGCGGUGGAGCAUGUGGUUUAAUUCGAAGCAACGCGAAGAACCUUACCAGGUCUUGACAUCCUCUGACAAUCCUAGAGAUAGGACUUUCCCCUUCGGGGGACAGAGUGACAGGUGGUGCAUGGUUGUCGUCAGCUCGUGUCGUGAGAUGUUGGGUUAAGUCCCGCAACGAGCCGCAACAC